rnacentral:rRNA from 1 species
UUUCUAUGGAGAGUUUGAUCCUGGCUCAGGACGAACGCUGGCGGCGUGCCUAAUACAUGCAAGUCGAGCGGAGUUUUGAAAAGC